rnacentral:rRNA from 1 species
UACGAAGGGGGCUAGCGUUGCUCGGAUUGACUGGGCGUAAAGGGCGCGUAGGCGGUUCGUACAGUCAGACGUGAAAUCCCUGGGCUCAACCUGGGAAUGGCAGUGGAUACUGGACGGCUAGAAUGCGGUAGAGGGUAGUGGAAUUCCCGGUGUAGCAGUGAAAUGCGUAGAGAUCGGGAGGAACACCAGUGGCGAAGGCGGCUACCUGGACCAGCAUUGACACUCAAGCACGAAAGCGUGGGGAGCAAACAGG